UACGGAGGGGGCAAGCGUUGUCCGGACUUACUGGGCGUAAAGGGUGCGUAGGCGGCCUGCUGCGUCGGUGCUGAAAGCGCCCGGCUUAACCGGGCGAGGCGUGCCGAUACGAGCGGGCUGGAGCCUUGGCGAGGGUGGCAGAACUCCUGGUGUAGUGGUGAAAUGCGUAGAGAUCAGGAAGAACACCCGUGGCGCAAGCGGCCACCUGGCCAAGAGCUGACGCUGAGGCACGAGAGCGUGGGGAGCGAACCGG
rnacentral:rRNA from 1 species